rnacentral:rRNA from 1 species
UCAGAUUGAACGCUGGCGGCAGGCCUAACACAUGCAAGUCGAGCGGUAGCACAGAGAGCUUGCUCUCGGGUGACGAGCGGCGGACGGGUGAGUAAUGUCUGGGAAACUGCCUGAUGGAGGGGGAUAACUACUGGAAACGGUAGCUAAUACCGCAUAAUGUCGCAAGACCAAAGUGGGGGACCUUCGGGCCUCAUGCCAUCAGAUGUGCCCAGAUGGGAUUAGCUAGUAGGUGGGGUAACGGCUCACCUAGGCGACGAUCCCUAGCUGGUCUGAGAGGAUGACCAGCCACACUGGAACUGAGACACGGUCCAGACUCCUACGGGAGGCAGCAGUGGGGAAUAUUGCACAAUGGGCGCAAGCCUGAUGCAGCCAUGCCGCGUGUGUGAAGAAGGCCUUCGGGUUGUAAAGCACUUUCAGCGGGGAGGAAGGCGGUAAGGUUAAUAACCUCAUCGAUUGACGUUACCCGCAGAAGAAGCACCGGCUAACUCCGUGCCAGCAGCCGCGGUAAUACGGAGGGUGCAAGCGUUAAUCGGAAUUACUGGGCGUAAAGCGCACGCAGGCGGUCUGUCAAGUCGGAUGUGAAAUCCCCGGGCUCAACCUGGGAACUGCAUUCGAAACUGGCAGGCUAGAGUCUUGUAGAGGGGGGUAGAAUUCCAGGUGUAGCGGUGAAAUGCGUAGAGAUCUGGAGGAAUACCGGUGGCGAAGGCGGCCCCCUGGACAAAGACUGACGCUCAGGUGCGAAAGCGUGGGGAGCAAACAGGAUUAGAUACCCUGGUAGUCCACGCCGUAAACGAUGUCGAUUUGGAGGUUGUGCCCUUGAGGCGUGGCUUCCGGAGCUAACGCGUUAAAUCGACCGCCUGGGGAGUACGGCCGCAAGGUUAAAACUCAAAUGAAUUGACGGGGGCCCGCACAAGCGGUGGAGCAUGUGGUUUAAUUCGAUGCAACGCGAAGAACCUUACCUGGUCUUGACAUCCACAGAACUUUCCAGAGAUGGAUUGGUGCCUUCGGGAACUGUGAGACAGGUGCUGCAUGGCUGUCGUCAGCUCGUGUUGUGAAAUGUUGGGUUAAGUCCCGCAACGAGCGCAACCCUUAUCCUUUGUUGCCAGCGGUCCGGCCGGGAACUCAAAGGAGACUGCCAGUGAUAAACUGGAGGAAGGUGGGGAUGACGUCAAGUCAUCAUGGCCCUUACGACCAGGGCUACACACGUGCUACAAUGGCAUAUACAAAGAGAAGCGACCUCGCGAGAGCAAGCGGACCUCAUAAAGUAUGUCGUAGUCCGGAUUGGAGUCUGCAACUCGACUCCAUGAAGUCGGAAUCGCUAGUAAUCGUAGAUCAGAAUGCUACGGUGAAUACGUUCCCGGGCCUUGUACACACCGCCCGUCACACCAUGGGAGUGGGUUGCAAAAGAAGUAGGUAGCUUAACCUUCGGGAGGGCGCUUACCACUUUGUGAUUCAUGACUGGGGUGAAGUCGUAACAAGGUAACCGUAGGGGAACCUGCGGCUGGAUCACCUCC